rnacentral:rRNA from 1 species
GACGAACGCUGGCGGCGUGCUUAACACAUGCAAGUCGAACGGAAAGGCCCUGCUUGUGUGGGGUGCUCGAGUGGCGAACGGGUGAGUAACACGUGAGUAACCUGCCCUUGACUUUGGGAUAACUUCAGGAAACUGGGGCUAAUACCGGAUAGGAGCUCCUGCUGCAUGGUGGGGGUUGGAAAGUUUCGGCGGUUGGGGAUGGACUCGCGGCUUAUCAGCUUGUUGGUUGGGUAGUGGCUUACCAAGGCUUGGACGGGUAGCCGGCCUGAGAGGGUGAACGGCGACCUUGGGACUGAGAUACGGACCAGACUCCUACGGGAGGCAGUAGUGGGGAAUAUUGCACAAUGGGCGGAAGCCUGAUGCAGCAACGCCGCGUGCGGGAUGACGGCCUUCGGGUUGUAAACAGCUUUAGCCUGUGACGAAGCGUGAGUGACGGUAAUGGGUAAAGAAGCACCGGCUAACUACGUG